UGCAAGUCGAGGGGUAACAGGAAAAGCUUGCUUUUUUGCUGACGACCGGCGCACGGGUGCGUAACGCGUAUACAAUCUACCUCUUACUGAGGGAUAGCCCAUGGAAACGUGGAUUAAUAUCUCAUAGUAUUAUGAAUUGGCAUCAAUUUAUAAUUAAAGGUUACGGUAGGAGAUGAGUAUGCGUCUUAUUAGCUAGAUGGUAAGGUAACGGCUUACCAUGGCAACGAUAAGUAGGGGUCCUGAGAGGGAGAUCCCCCACACUGGUACUGAGACACGGACCAGACUCCUACGGGAGGCAGCAGUGAGGAAUAUUGGACAAUGGGCGAGAGCCUGAUCCAGCCAUGCCGCGUGCAGGAAGACUGCCCUAUGGGUUGUAAACUGCUUUUACAGAGGAAGAAUCGCACCUACGUGUAGGUGUUUGACGGUACUCUGCGAAUAAGGAUCGGCUAACUCCGUGCCAGCAGCCGCGGUAAUACGGAGGAUCCAAGCGUUAUCCGGAAUCAUUGGGUUUAAAGGGUCCGUAGGCGGAUUUAUAAGUCAGUGGUGAAAGUCUUCCGCUCAACGGGAGAAUUGCCAUUGAUACUGUAAAUCUUGAAUUAUUAUGAAGUGGUUAGAAUGUGUAGUGUAGCGGUGAAAUGCAUAGAUAUUACACACAAUACCGAUUGCGAAGGCAGAUCACUAAUAAUAUAUUGACGCUGAUGGACGAAAGCGUAGGUAGCGAACAGGAUUAGAUACCCUGGUAGUCUACGCCGUAAACGAUGGUUACUAGCUGUCCGGCCUAAUUGAGGGCUGGGUGGUUAAGCGAAAGUGAUAAGUAACCCACCUGGGGAGUACGUUCGCAAGAAUGAAACUCAAAGGAAUUGACGGGGGCCCGCACAAGCGGUGGAGCAUGUGGUUUAAUUCGAUGAUACGCG
rnacentral:rRNA from 1 species